rnacentral:rRNA from 1 species
GCGCACCAGUCGAGAAUACUUUACAAUGUGCGAAAGCACGAUAAGGGAACUCUGAGUGCCUCCUAAGGAGGCUGUUCUGAUGUCUAAAAGCAACAGAAGUAAGGGCUGGGUAAGACCGGUGCCAGCCGCCGCGGUAACACCGGCAGCCCAAGUGGUAGCCACGUUUAUUGGGUCUAAAGCGUUCGUAGCCGGCCAGGUAAGUUCCUUGGUAAAUUUAGCCGCUUAACGGUUAAGCUUUCAGGGAAUACUGCUUGGCUUGGGACUGGGAGAGGUCAGAGGUACUCCGGGGGUAGGGUGAAAUCUAUUAAUCCCUGGGGGACCACCGGUAGCGAAGGCGUCUGACCAGACCAGGUCCGACGGUGAGGGACGAAGGCUAGGGGCGCGAACCGGAUUAGAUA